CAUGAUUGCAAGGGAGUGAAAUGUGACAUGUUCGCUACUAACUGGCUCUGUGAUUCGAUGUCCAGAAUGAUCUUCAUUGAGGAUUGCUGCUGUAACGACGUCAUCUGCUUGCGAUCGAAUGUUGACAGAGCGAUCACAGUCAAGAAAGACUAGGAAAAGAGUUUGAAAUCCGAAAAUAUAAUCCAUACAGUGAAAUAAUAGCGGACAUAACAGCAGAUGAGGAGGUGGGUUAAAAACUAAUGCCCAACCCACCGCAGAUGUAUAACGGUGAACCGCCAACUGUGGCACGCAGUGAAUUUAACAAGGUACUCAUGCUGUGAUGUGGGGCGAUGUUUAUGGCUGGAAAUGAAGAACGCACUCAGUAUACCAUUAUCGCUGUGUGGACACUUUUAUUGUUCCAUGAUGACCGGUUUCAACAAUCUUAUAUUGCCAUCAUCUGAUGUAAGGUGAAAACAUGAGUAUAGUGCUGGAGGGGUGGGGGAGACUACAAUAAAUUUCACCCACUAAAUAUUCAUAAAUUUAGAAUUUUUAAUUAUGAAUAUUGUACUAGACAAUAAAAGUCAAUAGCAGUUAAUCCACUGGAGUGACCUCAGCACAUGAAGUACGAAAUUAAAAACUAACGACUUGAGAAAACAAUAAAAUAAACUAUAAACCAAGUAAUGCAUUUA